CACGUAGGGGGCGAGCGUUGUCCGGAUUCAUUGGGCGUAAAGCGCGCGCAGGCGGCUCGGAAAGUCGGGUGUGAAAACUCGGGGCUCAACCCCGGGCGUGCAUCCGAUACUGCCGGGCUUGAGGCAGGUAGGGGAGAUCGGAAUUCCUGGUGUAGCGGUGAAAUGCGCAGAUAUCAGGAGGAACACCGGUGGCGAAGGCGGUCAACUGGCCCUGAACUGACGCUCAGGCACGAAAGCGUGGGGAUCAAACAGG
rnacentral:rRNA from 1 species